rnacentral:misc_RNA from 1 species
UGCGAAGAAAGCCAAAUACAAGCAAGCAACGGCCACUAAAAUCUACUCACUGGCCGUAACUUUUUCACUUGUUAUGCUGCUUGCUCUGGUUUUCAGAUCUGAUGCUGGACGCAUUGUGGUCUAUUGGGGCCAGGAUGAGAGGGAGGGCACACUUACUGCAACGUGUGCCACAGGACAAUACCAAAUCGUCAACAUAGCAUUCCUUUCAAAAUUUGGCAAUGCCCAAAAGCCUCGAAUCGAUUUAGCUGGUCAUUGCGAUGCAGCCUCUAAUGGUUGCCAGAAGAUCUCAAAGGACAUCAAAUAUUGCCAAAACCGAGGCAUUAAGGUAAUGCUUUCAAUUGGAGGUAGCGAUGGCAGCUACAAUUUAACUUCUGCUGAUGAUGCUAGGACUGUCGCCAACUAUUUGUGGAAUAAAUUCCUCGGAGGGCAUUCGAAUUCACGGCCUUUAGGCGACGCCGUGUUGGAUGGUAUAGAUUUUGACAUCGAGAAAGGUAGUGGAACUCACUACGCUGCACUUGCAGGAAGAUUGUCCCAGCUCAGCCGAAACAGGAGGAAGAAAGUCUACUUAACUGCGGCACCACAAUGUCCGUUCCCUGAUCAAUACAUCAACGGUGCACUUUCCACUGGGCCAUUCGACUAUGUUUGGAUCCAAUUUUACAACAAUCCUCCCUGUGAGUAUAGUUCUAGCAAUCCUGGGAAAUUUAAGAGGUCCUGGAUUAAAUGGAAGUCAUCUAUUCCAGCUCGUAAGUUCUUUGUUGGUCUUCCGGCUUCUCAUGCUGCUGCUGGCAAUGGUUUUGCGCCCACAAAUGAGCUUGUAACUAAAGUACUGCCUUUUGUUAAGGGCUCUUCUAAAUAUGGGGGUGUCAUGCUUUGGGAUCGCUACAAUGAUCUGAAGAACGAAUAUAGUUCCAAAAUUAAGGGCAGCGUUUAGAUGCUCCAACAAAACGUUUGCUUUUUAUGGAUUCUCUUGGAAGAGUUCUUUUGGUACAAUAAAAUAAAUAAGCAAGCAAGAUAUUAU